CGCGGGGUGGAGCAGCCCGGUAGCUCGUCAGGCUCAUAACCUGAAGGUCGCAGGUUCAAAUCCUGCCCCCGCAACCA
rnacentral:tRNA from 387 species